UGAGUAACACGUAUCCAACCUGCCGUCUACUCUUGGACAGCCUUCUGAAAGGAAGAUUAAUACAAGAUGGCAUCAUGAGUUCACAUGUUCACAUGAUUAAAGGUAUUCCGGUAGACGAUGGGGAUGCGUUCCAUUAGAUAGUAGGCGGGGUAACGGCCCACCUAGUCAACGAUGGAUAGGGGUUCUGAGAGGAAGGUCCCCCACAUUGGAACUGAGACACGGUCCAA
rnacentral:rRNA from 1 species